UUUCGCAAUGCCCGAAAGGGUGACGAAGCGACGCCGCGUGGGUGAGGAGGGCCCUCGGGUUGUAAAGCCCUGUCAGGAGUUAAGAAAUGUAGGUACGCUAAUAUCGUAUCUAUUUGACAAAGGCUCCUAAGGAAGCCACGGCUAACUCUGUGCCAGCAGCCGCGGUAAUACAGAGGUGGCAAGCGUUGUUCGGAAUUAUUGGGCGUAAAGAGCACGUAGGUGGAUUUGUAAGUCAGAUGUGAAAGCCUCCUGUUCAACGGGAGAAUUGCAUCUGAAACUACAAACCUUGAGUAUAGGAGGGGAGAAUGGAACUUCUGGUGGAGCGGUGAAAUGCGUAGAUAUCAGAAGGAACGCCGGCGGCGAAAGCGAUUCUCUGGCCUAUUACUGACACUCAGUGCGCGAAAGCCAGGGGAGCAAACGGGAUUAGAUACCCCGGUAGUCCUAGCCGUAAACGAUGGGCACUAAGUAGAGGGGUUUU
rnacentral:rRNA from 1 species